CGUGGGUGGCUUGAGGGGGUGCUGGCAGGUUUCUUGGCCCCUCGACACCGGCCUCUGUUGCAGCCCUCACUGGACCCCCUGCCGCCGUACAUCCUGGCUGAGGCCCAGCUCCGCACACAGAGGGCCUGGGGCUUGCAGGAGAUCCGGGACUGUCUGAUUGAGGACAGUGACGACGAGGCGGGCCAGAGCUGAGCGUGAGGACGUGCUUGCCGGGACAGCAGGCAGUGGCCACCUGGUACACCACACUGGAGCCGGAAGGCAAGGACGGGGGACUGGCCUCUGAUUGUCCAUUUGUAUAAAUAAAACAUUUUUUAAUUAAAAAAA
rnacentral:lncRNA from 1 species